rnacentral:rRNA from 1 species
UACAUGGGGUGCAAACGUUGCUCGGAAUUAUUGGGCGUAAAGAGCUCGUAGGCGGUGUGUCACGUCGGCCGUGAAAACCUGCAGCUUAACUGUGGGCGUGCGGUCGAUACGGGCAUCACUGGAGUUCGGCAGGGGAGACUGGAAUUCCUGGUGUAGCGGUGAAAUGCGCAGAUAUCAGGAGGAACACCGGUGGCGAAGGCGGGUCUCUGGGCCGAUACUGACACUGAGGCACGAAAGCUAGGGGAGCAAACAGG